rnacentral:rRNA from 1 species
GAUGAACGCUAGCGGCAGGCCUAAUACAUGCAAGUCGGACGGGAUUCAGGAGCUUGCUUCUGAUGAGAGUGGCGCACGGGUGCGUAACACGUAUGUAACCUACCUUUAUCAGGGGGAUAGCCUCUCGAAAGAGAGAUUAAGCCCGCAUAAAAUCACAGCACAGCAUUGUGUAAUGAUCAAAUAUUUAUAGGAUAAAAUGGGCAUGGGGAACAUUAGCUAGGUGGCGGGGUAACCGGCCACCAUGGCGACCAACCUUAGGGGAACGGAGAGAAUGGCCCCCCGGACUGGUAGUGUGACCCGGGCCAGAGUCCUACGGGCAGAAGCAAUAAUGACUCUUGUACAAUGAGCGGGAGCCUGAACCAAACAUGCCACAUGCAGGAAGACCGACCUACGGGUUGUAAACUGCUUUUAUACGGGAAUAAACCCAGAUACGUGUAUCUGACUGAAAGUACCAUAAGAAUAAGGAUCGGCUAACUCCGUG